rnacentral:rRNA from 1 species
UACGGAGGGUGCGAGCGUUGUCCGGAAUCAUUGGGCGUAAAGGGCGCGUAGGUGGCGGGACAAGCGUGCGGUGAAAGCCUGGGGCUCAACCCCGGGUCGGCCGUGCGAACUGUUUUGCUUGAGCACUGUAGAGGCAGGCGGAAUUCCGGGUGUAGCGGUGGAAUGCGUAGAGAUCCGGAAGAACACCGGUGGCGAAGGCGGUUCUCUGGGCCUUACCUGACGCUGAGGAGCGAAAGCGUGGGUAGCGAACAGG